UUUUCUUUUGGCUAGCUUUUCCAAGUAGUUAAACAGAACAAUCACGGGUUUAAUUUCAUGACAGUAUAGGUAAACAAUGAAAAGUGGAGAACCGACCCUCCCUCUUUUAACCGACAAAGUCUAAUUUACCUUCUAUGUUUAACUGCUUUUUUUGAGAGACAUUUUUACUUUAAAACUCAGAGCUGGUUUUCUGCUCGGUGAAGCUCACAUCAUUAGCAGCGGAUGUGACACCUGUUGACAAUAAAGCAGCACUACAACUCAUCAGCUUCACAUUCUGCUUUGGGAAGGACUUUUAUUUACAAGAACUGGUCAGCAAUGUUGUUGGAACAGCUUGAUCAGCCACGCCAGGCUGACACGGGAGGGACGGCCCGCCGCGUCGGGAAACACCCCAACGUGGAGGAAGGCCAGCCAGGUGCAGGACGGACGGAUGGAGGGCUGGGCAGUUCAAAGUGAGCCGCAUUAAUGCAGGUUUGAAACGUUUAAAGAUCAGCAGCAGCCCCGCCGCAUCGGCCCGAUGAUGUAAUCAUUUCCCAGCCGCACCUGGGAGCCGCGGUCGCCAUCCUGAGGCAUCGCUCACAGCCAAAUAUGCAGAUGUUUCUAAUUGCUUUCCAUUACCAACAAUAACAGCUGUUUAUAUCUAUCAGCAAAUAAUUCACAAGAGUUCCAGACUGUUAGGAUAACAUAUCCCACCUGGUCACCAUCACCAGUUGUCAGCAGCAGAGAGCAGCUCCCUGCCAGGCUGCUCGUUCACAAAUCCCCCGAUGAGCUCGGGCUUCCAGUCACCUUCGGCUCUAACGUCAGGCUUUACACAUGCAGGGAAUGUUUUACUCGAACAUGAUGUGGUUUAGUAUGUUUCUGAUUUAGAAUAAAAUAGAAAUAUCCUUUAUUGCCCAAAAAUGAGAGGAAAAUCUGGUGUAAUAAAGUGGCAGGAAUCGAAGCAUGUGGAAU